AUUGAACGCUGGCGGCAUGCCUUACACAUGCAAGUCGAACGGUAACAGGUCUUCGGAUGCUGACGAGUGGCGAACGGGUGAGUAAUACAUCGGAACGUGCCUAGUAGGGGGGGAUAACUACUCGAAAGGGUGGCUAAUACCGCAUGGGAUCUACGGAUGAAAGCAGGGGAUCGCAAGCCCUUGUGCUACUCGAGCGGCCGAUGGCAGAUUAGGUAGUUGGGGGGAUAAAAGCUUACCAAGCCGACGAUCUGUAGCUGGUCUGAGAGGACGAUCAGCCACACUGGGACUGAGACACGGCCCAGACUCCUACGGGAGGCAGCAGUGGGGAAUUUUGGACAAUGGGCGAAAGCCUGAUCCAGCGAUGCCGCGUGCAGGAUGAAGGCCUUCGGGUUGUAAACUGCUUUUGUACGGAACGAAAAGCCCCGGGUUACUACCCUGGGGUCAUGACGGUACCGUAAGAAUAAGCACCGGCUAACUACGUGCCAGCCGCCGCAGUAA
rnacentral:rRNA from 1 species